UGUUUCCAUUAAUCAAGAACGAAAGUUAGAGGUUCGAAGGCGAUCAGAUACCGCCCUAGUUCUAACCAUAAACGAUGCCAGCCAGCGAUCCGGCUGUGUUCCUCAAAUGACACGCCGGGCAGCUUCCGGGAAACCAAAGCUUUUGGGUUCCGGGGGAAGUAUGGUUGCAAAGCUGAAACUUAAAGGAAUUGACGGAAGGGCACUACCAGGAAUGGAGCCUGCGGCUUAAUUUGACUCAACACGGGGAAGCUUACCUGGAUAGGACACAGGAAGGAUUGACAGAUUAAGAGCUCUUUCUUGAUUCUGUGGAAGGUGGUGCAUGGCCAUUCUUAGUUGGUGGAGCGAUUUGUCUGGUUAAUUCCGAUAACGAUCGAGACUCUAGCCUACUAAAUAGACGUUCCGAUCCUUGCUGUCGGACGCUCUUCUUAGAGGGACACGCGGCGUUUAGCCGCACGAGACAGAGCAAUAGUAGGUCUGUGAUGCCCUUAGAUGUCCAGGGCCGCACGCGCGCUACAAUGAAGGAAUCAGCGUGUGCUUUCCCUGUCCGACAGGACUGGGUAACCCGUUGAACCUCCUUCGUGCUUGGGAUAGGCGCUUGUAAUUAUUCGCCUUGAACGAGGAAUUCCCAGUAAGCGCGAGUCAUCAGCUCGUGU
rnacentral:rRNA from 1 species